rnacentral:rRNA from 1 species
CAUAUCAAUAAGCGGAGGAAAAGAAACCAACAGGGAUUGCCCUAGUAACGGCGAGUGAAGCGGCAACAGCUCAAAUUUGAAAUCUGGCUCUCUUUGGGGGUCCGAGUUGUAAUUUGCAGAGGAUGCUUUGGCAUUGGCGGCGGUCUAAGUUCCUUGGAACAGGACAUCGCAGAGGGUGAGAAUCCCGUACGUGGGCGCCUGCCUUUGCCGUGUAAAGCUCCUUCGACGAGUCGAGUUGUUUGGGAAUGCAGCUCUAAAUGGGAGGUAAAUUUCUUCUAAAGCUAAAUACCGGCCAGAGACCGAUAGCGCACAAGUAGAGUGAUCGAAAGAUGAAAAGUACUUUGGAAAGAGAGUCAAAAAGCACGUGAAAUUGUUGAAAGGGAAGCGCUUGCAGCCAGACUUGCCCGCAGUUGCUCACCUAGGCUUUGGCCUGGGGCACUCUUCUGCGGGCAGGCCAGCAUCAGUUUGGGCGGUUGGAUAAAGGCCUCUGUCACGUAUCUUCCUUCGGGAUGACCUUAUAGGGGAGGCGUAAUGCAACCAGCCCGGACUGAGGUCCGCGCAUCUGCUAGGAUGCUGGCGUAAUGGCUGUAAGCGGCCCGUCUUGAAACACGGACCAAGGAGUCUAACAUCUAUGCGAGUGUUUGGGUGUCAAGCCCGGGCGCGCAAUGAAAGUGAACGGAGGUGGGAACCCUUUGGGUGCACCAUCGACCGAUCCUGAUGUCUUCGGAUGGAUUUGAGUAAGAGCAUAGCUGUUGGGACCCGAAAGAUGGUGAACUAUGCUUGAAUAGGGUGAAGCCAGAGGAAACUCUGGUGGAGGCUCGCAGCGGUUCUGACGUGCAAAUCGAUCGUCAAAUUUGGGCAUAGGGGCGAAAGACUAAUCGAA